GGACCAAGGAGUCUAGCAUGUGCGCGAGUCAUUGGGAUUAACAAAACCUAAAGGCGCAAUGAAAGUGAAGGCAAGCUUCGCGCGAGCCGAGGGAGGAUGGGCCGUGCCACAAUACGGCCCCGCACUCCCGGGGCGUCUCAAUCUCAUUGCGAGAAGAGGCGCACCUAGAGCGUACACGCUGGGACCCGAAAGAUGGUGAACUAUGCCUGGUCAGGACGAAGUCAGGGGAAACCCUGAUGGAGGUCCGUAGCGAUUCUGACGUGCAAAUCGAUCGUCGGAACUGGGUAUAGGGGCGAAAGACUAAUCGAACCAUCUAGUAGCUGGUUCCCUCCGAAGUUUCCCUCAGGAUAGCUGGCACUCGUUAAGCGAGUUUCAUCCGGUAAAGCGAAUGAUUAGAGGCAUUGGGGUCGAAACGGCCUCAACCUAUUCUCAAACUUUAAAUGGGUGAGAUCUCCGGCUUGCUUGAACACGAAGCCGCGAGAUUAUCACAUGAAUCAGAGUGCCAAGUGGGCCACUUUUGGUAAGCAGAACUGGCGCUGUGGGAUGAACCAAACGCCGAGUUAAAGCGCCUAAAUCGACGCUUAUGGGAUACCAUGAAAGGCGUUGGUAACUUAAGACAGCAGGACGGUGGCCAUGGAAGUCGGA
rnacentral:rRNA from 1 species